rnacentral:rRNA from 1 species
AUGGCCAACGGCACAAGGUGCUGCGACCUCUUCCGCCCUCCGCCAUGGCUCCUCUCUAUCCCCCCACUAGCACCCUCCUCACCCCUUGCCCACUCCCGGCUGAUCCCCAAGGCUGCCCCCUCCCUCUCUCAUUUGAUCUGGUCCGGACAAUCACUCGACCGAGCUCGAUACCACAUAUUGUUGGCCAUCUCACACUCUGGUUGCAGCAAUUGGAUGUGCCCUGUGAAACCUGUAACAUUUGAGCAUUGCAAGCGGCGGUACGGCAGUCCGAAUCCUGACGUUCUUGGGAGUGCAGGAGAAGAACGGCUAUCUUGCUUUUCUGAAAUCAACAGGAGCUCGGUCUGGAAAAUGUUGGAUAUUCUCGAAGAAAUACUUGCGAUGAAGGAUAGCCAUUGUUUGCAUGCUUCCUCCCUGUGGUGCAUUUGGUUCCUAAGCCAUCCUCUCAAGCUCCCACUUCGACAGUUGUGA